rnacentral:hammerhead_ribozyme from 1 species
GUUCAGCUGAGGAGUCCCAAAGAGGACGAAACGCUUUUUCUGGAU